GUAGCCUGGUUGCCGCUGGGAAGGGGCGGUUCGGGCGCUGGGAGGCCGCGCGGCCCAGCUUGUGCAGUCCGGGAUCGGGUCCCCUUGGGAGACUGGGCGAGGGGCGAGACCUGGGGCCCUCCCAGCCCAUACCGCAGUUCCUUCCCACAGUCCCUGCGUUUCAUUUCGCCCCAGUUGAGAGUUGGAGGUCUACGGGGGGACCCCAUGGGAGAAGGGCCAGUUAACAGUUACUCUUGACCCACGAGGGUCUGUGAAACCUCUUACUGUGGCCAGAGGAGAAGACAUCGGAGAGCAAGUUUCCCUGGAUAGACAUGUUGAACCUCUGAAAACAUGAAAGUUUUUGGUUCGUCAGUGGAAACAUGUACAAGUGCGCAGUUGGUGGGAAUGUAAAUGGCGCAGCACCGCAGAAAACUAUGGAGAUUCCACAAAAGGUUAAAAGUAGAACCACCGGAUAUGAGGGCGAUCUGGCUGCGACACCUGUCAUCCCACUGAUUGCCAGGGUUGAUUCGGCUGAUCUGGCUGGCUAGGCGGGGGGACCCUUUGUC